rnacentral:rRNA from 1 species
GGGAGGUAGUGACAAUAAAUAACAACGCAGGGCUCUUUCGGGUCUUGUUAUUGGAAUGAGUACGAUUUAAAUCUCCUAACGAGGAACAAUUGGAGGGCAAGUCUGGUGCCAGCAGCCGCGGUAAUUCCAGCUCCAAUAGCGUAUAUUAAAGUUGUUGCAGUUAAAAAGCUCGUAGUUGAAUUUCGGGGUCAGCAGGUUGGUCGUGCCACUGGUAUGCACUGGCUUCGCUGAUUCCUCCUUUCUGAAGAACUGUAAUGCCAUUAAUUUGGUGUUGCAGGGAAACAGGACUGUUACUUUGAAAAAUUAGAGUGUUUAAAGCAGGCUCACGCUUGAAUACAUUAGCAUGGAAUAAUGAAAUAGGACGUUUGAUCCUAUUUUGUUGGUUUCUGGGAUUGACGUAAUGAUUAAUAGGGAUAGUUGGG